AGUGAACGCUGGCGGUAGGCCUAACACAUGCAAGUCGAACGGCAGCACAGUAAGAGCUUGCUCUUACGGGUGGCGAGUGGCGGACGGGUGAGGAAUACAUCGGAAUCUACUUUUUCGUGGGGGAUAACGUAGGGAAACUUACGCUAAUACCGCAUACGACCUACGGGUGAAAGCAGGGGAUCUUCGGACCUUGCGCGAUUGAAUGAGCCGAUGUCGGAUUAGCUAGUUGGCGGGGUAAAGGCCCACCAAGGCGACGAUCCGUAGCUGGUCUGAGAGGAUGAUCGGCCGCACUGGAACUGAGACACGGUCCAGGCUCCUACGGGAGGCAGCAGUGGGGAAUAUUGGACAAAGGGCGCAAGCCUGAUCCAGCCAUACCGCGUGGGUGAAGAAGGCCUUCGGGUUGUAAAGCCCUUUUGUUGGGAAAGAAAAGCAGCAGGUUAAUACCCCGCUGUUCUGACGGUACCCAAAGAAUAAGCACCGGCUAACUUCGUG
rnacentral:rRNA from 1 species